ensembl:misc_RNA Metazoa_SRP Metazoan signal recognition particle RNA
GCUGGGCAUGGUGGUGCAUGCCUGUAGUCCCAGCUACCUGGGAGGCUGAGGCAGGAGAACUGCUUGAGCCCUGGAGGCAGAGGGUGCAGUGAGCUGAGAUUGCACCACUGCACUCCAACCUGGGCAACAGAGCAAGACUCUGCCUCAA